rnacentral:rRNA from 1 species
UAGGGAAUCUUCGGCAAUGGACGAAAGUCUGACCGAGCAACGCCGCGUGAGUGAAGAAGGUUUUCGGAUCGUAAAACUCUGUUGUUAGAGAAGAACAAGGACGUUAGUAACUGAACGUCCCCUGACGGUAUCUAACCAGAAAGCCACGGCUAACUACGUGCCAGCAGCCGCGGUAAUACGUAGGUGGCAAGCGUUGUCCGGCUUUAUUGGGCGUAAAGCGAGCGCAGGCGGUUUCUUAAGUCUGAUGUGAAAGCCCCCGGCUCAACCGGGGAGGGUCAUUGGAAACUGGGAGACUUGAGUGCAGAAGAGGAGAGUGGAAUUCCAUGUGUAGCGGUGAAAUGCGUAGAUAUAUGGAGGAACACCAGUGGCGAAGGCGGCUCUCUGGUCUGUAACUGACGCUGAGGCGCGAAAGCGUGGGGAGCAAACAGG